UUUCGGGUUCGGUUAUUUUAAGUCAGGUUUGGAUAUUUAGACGUACUUUGAAUUUCUUAUUUCAAAAUUUGCAUGGUUCGAAGCUCUUGUACCUACAAAUUUAUCAAUAAUUAAUUGAUUUUCAAAAUUUUAAUAGGUUAGAGGAUUAUAUUAAUAGUUGACAAGCAACAUGCAGAGCUCAAAGACUCUUAAGGUGCUUUUAUGCUUUGAAGAUCAGUAUGAUCUCCUCUCUUUGUCGACUUGCGUCUAUCGCCUUAGUUUAGGUUCCAACUUCCGAUUGUUUAUGUGUAGGUGUUGUUAGGGCUUUGGUUUCUGGAAAACGUGGUUUCAUCAGCAAUGUCACUGGAGUCAUCUCUUUGUGCUGCCGGAUGUGUAUUUCAAACAUGUGAUUCACCUUUGUAUAUAUCCAUUGUUCAAUAAAUUUCAGUGUGAAAAAAGAUUAAUAGGUUUGAAAACAAAACUUUGAAUACACUUUGGUUGUGGUUUUAAGAAUUUGGACACAGAUUUUGUUUGAUAAUAAUGCAUGAAACAAUUUGGCAUGCAUAUUUAAGUAAGUAGCACAAAUUCAUAUUGUCCCCGAUUACUACCAUCUAUAUAGUGUAUUAUCUGACUUUAGGCCAUGUGCAGCAACAAUCUAAAACAUUUUCCACUUAUACAACACCAUUACAUUCAAGAAACAGAACAAACCUGAAAACCAAAUAAUCAUAAAUACAAAAUAAUUUGUCUUUUCAACAAUAACCAAGUCCAUCUUUCUUGCAGUUGUAAUCCAAAGACACAACAUUAGCGAAAGAAGAAGAGAACCACAAAUCUCUAAGGCAAAAUAUCUUUAUG
rnacentral:lncRNA from 1 species